rnacentral:rRNA from 1 species
CUCAGAUUGAACGCUGGCGGCAGGCCUAACACAUGCAAGUCGAGCGGAAACGAGUUAACUGAACCUUCGGGGAACGUUAACGGCGUCGAGCGGCGGACGGGUGAGUAAUGCCUAGGAAAUUGCCCUGAUGUGGGGGAUAACCAUUGGAAACGAUGGCUAAUACCGCAUGAUGCCUACGGGCCAAAGAGGGGGACCUUCGGGCCUCUCGCGUCAGGAUAUGCCUAGGUGGGAUUAGCUAGUUGGUGAGGUAAGGGCUCACCAAGGCGACGAUCCCUAGCUGGUCUGAGAGGAUGAUCAGCCACACUGGAACUGAGACACGGUCCAGACUCCUACGGGAGGCAGCAGUGGGGAAUAUUGCACAAUGGGCGCAAGCCUGAUGCAGCCAUGCCGCGUGUGUGAAGAAGGCCUUCGGGUUGUAAAGCACUUUCAGUCGUGAGGAAGGUAGUGUGUUUAAUAGAUGCAUUAUUUGACGUUAGCGACAGAAGAAGCACCGGCUAACUCCGUGCCAGCAGCCGCGGUAAUACGGAGGGUGCGAGCGUUAAUCGGAAUUACUGGGCGUAAAGCGCAUGCAGGUGGUUUGUUAAGUCAGAUGUGAAAGCCCGGGGCUCAACCUCGGAAUAGCAUUUGAAACUGGCAGACUAGAGUACUGUAGAGGGGGGUAGAAUUUCAGGUGUAGCGGUGAAAUGCGUAGAGAUCUGAAGGAAUACCGGUGGCGAAGGCGGCCCCCUGGACAGAUACUGACACUCAGAUGCGAAAGCGUGGGGAGCAAACAGGAUUAGAUACCCUGGUAGUCCACGCCGUAAACGAUGUCUACUUGGAGGUUGUGGCCUUGAGCCGUGGCUUUCGGAGCUAACGCGUUAAGUAGACCGCCUGGGGAGUACGGUCGCAAGAUUAAAACUCAAAUGAAUUGACGGGGGCCCGCACAAGCGGUGGAGCAUGUGGUUUAAUUCGAUGCAACGCGAAGAACCUUACCUACUCUUGACAUCCAGAGAACUUUCCAGAGAUGGAUUGGUGCCUUCGGGAACUCUGAGACAGGUGCUGCAUGGCUGUCGUCAGCUCGUGUUGUGAAAUGUUGGGUUAAGUCCCGCAACGAGCGCAACCCUUAUCCUUGUUUGCCAGCGAGUAAUGUCGGGAACUCCAGGGAGACUGCCGGUGAUAAACCGGAGGAAGGUGGGGACGACGUCAAGUCAUCAUGGCCCUUACGAGUAGGGCUACACACGUGCUACAAUGGCGCAUACAGAGGGCGGCCAACUUGCGAAAGUGAGCGAAUCCCAAAAAGUGCGUCGUAGUCCGGAUUGGAGUCUGCAACUCGACUCCAUGAAGUCGGAAUCGCUAGUAAUCGUGGAUCAGAAUGCCACGGUGAAUACGUUCCCGGGCCUUGUACACACCGC